GGGUGUUGGUCCAACAAUUUGCAUUGGUCUCAAACCAAUGACAUGCAUUUUGAAGACCAUGAGUUCGAGGUGGAUGAGGAUGGUGAGGGCAUUGUCGACGUACCGAAGGGAAGAGCAGGCAACUACACCAACGGCGAAGACGUCGUGCUAUGCAAAACUUGGUUGGACGUGUCGAGGGAUCCAUCCGUUGAAGGUGAUCAAAGUAGAGAUGCUUAUUGGCUCCGGAUGAAAGAGCACUUUGAUCUAUGCAACAUGAGCGGAAUUGACUGCUCCGAUCGUUCUCUUCGCUCCCGGUGGUCAACAAUCAACAAGGAUUGUCAACAAUGGGCGGCCGCACAAAAGGCGGUUGACAAGUUGAACCCAAGUGGCACCAAUGAUGAAUAUAGGGCAAGUGCUUCAUCAUUCAUGUUCAUCAUGCUUGUUAUUGGUGUUCCCUGUGCUAACUUGUUUUGUUUUCAUGUAGUUAAAUAUUGCACAAAAUUUGUUCAAAGGAGAGGAGAAGAGGACCAAGAAGGGGAAUAUCAAGAGAGGAAGGCCAUUUGCCUUGCAUCAUUGCUAUGA
rnacentral:rRNA from 1 species